rnacentral:pre_miRNA from 1 species
AUUCUAGUAUUGACCUCAAUCCACAUGUAUUGCGGUGGAUUGGGGUGUAACUUAAAUUAAUUUACACCCCAAUCCACCUCAACACAUGUGGAUUGAGGUCAAUACUAGA